rnacentral:rRNA from 1 species
UACGUAGGAUGCGAGCGUUGUCCGGAAUUAUUGGGCGUAAAGAGAACGUAGGCGGUUUGUUAAGUUUGGGCUUAAAGACUGGGGCUCAACCCCAGGAGUGGCUCGAAAACUGACAGACUAGAGGAUGGCAGAGGAAAGUGGAAUUCCCAGUGUAGCGGUGAAAUGCGUAGAUAUUGGGAGGAACACCAGUGGCGAAAGCGACUUUCUGGGCCAUUCCUGACGCUGAGGUUCGAAAGCGUGGGGAGCAAACAGG